rnacentral:lncRNA from 1 species
CAUCAUCGUUUGUAUCACAAGUCCAUUUUGUGAUAAGGCCGACAGUAAGUCCUACAAAGAACAACCCUGCGAUUGCACCAAUGAUACACAGCAACCUAUGUUUAUUUAGAUCACCACUUUUAGAUCUAAAUGAAAGUCUUUGCACAAUCGAACGUCGUUGAGGAGGUUUUAAAUAAAUAUCAGAUUCUCCAGCCCCAACAGGCGGAUCGGGUAGGUUGCGAUGAGUAGUUGACACUUUUUUUCAGGUAAUUCCAAG